CUGCUGCCUCCCGUAGGAGUUUGGGCCGUGUCUCAGUCCCAAUGUGGCCGUUCACCCUCUCAGGCCGGCUACUGAUCGUCGCCUUGGUGAGCCCUUACCUCGCCAACCAGCUAAUCAGACGCGGGUCCAUCUCAUACCACCGGAGUUUUUCACACCGUCCCAUGCGAGACCGUGCGCUUAUGCGGUAUUAGCAGUCAUUUCUAACUGUUAUCCCCCUCGUAUGAGGCAGGUUACCCACGCGUUACUCCA
rnacentral:rRNA from 1 species